rnacentral:rRNA from 1 species
GAUGAACGCUAGCGGCAGGCCUAACACAUGCAAGUCGAGGGGUAGAAGGAGCUUGCUCCUUUGAGACCGGCGCACGGGUGCGUAACGCGUAUGCAAUCUACCUUGUACAGGGGAAUAGCCCAGAGAAAUUUGGAUUAAUGCCCCAUAGUAUAUAACCUUCGCAUGUUGGUUAUAUUAAAGUUCCAACGGUACAAGAUGAGCAUGCGUCCCAUUAGUUAGUUGGUAAGGUAACGGCUUACCAAGACGAUGAUGGGUAGGGGUCCUGAGAGGGAGAUCCCCCACACGGGUACUGAGACACGGACCAGACUCCUACGGGAGGCAGCAGUGAGGAAUAUUGGUCAAUGGUCGCAAGACUGAACCAGCCAUGCCGCGUGCAGGAAGACGGUCCUAUGGAUGGUAAACUGCUUUUAUACAGGAAGAAACCCUCCCACGUGUGGGAGCUUGACGGUACUGUAGGAAUAAGGAGCGGCUAACUCCGUG